CUAAUUGUAUAUUGAGGUCUGCUGAUCCCUUUUCUGUUCUGCUUACUAUCUCAUAAAUAUGAAACAAAAUAUUUUCUGUUGAGAAAGUCAUGUUGUUCAGUCUAUUUUUUGCAGUGACUGUAUCCUCUGUGCCGUGACCAAUACCAUUAGCAUGACUGUUUAAUGUCAGUCUAUGUAGGGACAGAACUGUUGCUGGAGACCAAUUCCUGAGCAUCUUCAGGAUUAUUCUCACAUCCCAUUUAUGGGAGUAUCUGGUUCCCCUCAUAGGUUUUGUACCAGUGGGUCAGUCUCAACAGUGUAAUGGUCUGUCCCCUGCCAUAGGUAAGUCGAUAGGGCACUUCUGGCGCAGUUGAUGGCACUGUAACUAAGCCCCUCAUCAUAGUGGAGGCCUGCCAGAUAUUCCAGAACAGAUGGGAUGUUCAUGUCUCUGAUUCCAUGUUUGAUACCACUGGGAACCAUGGUUGUGUAGGCCAAUCGGGUACUACCAAUUCCAGAUGCAGAGUCUAGUUGUAUUUCUUUGAUACCCGACUGAUCUCUCUGGAUACACCAUUGCCAAUUUGUAUAGCCAGAUUGUCACAGAUGUCAAUUUGUUUCCACCCUGUGGUUAAUGUAUGCUACCACGGUGGUAUUGGUUGCUCCGCACCCAAGGGUACUGGCAUCAGUUUGCAGUACCAUGGAAAAGGUUACUGACAAUGUUUGGAUAGGAACAAGGCCAGAUGUUAUCUAUCCACCAUUUAGUUCCAUUUUAGCCUGAUUGGUAGUUUCACAGAUCUGUCAAGUGACCUGCAUAAUUUAGAGUGCUUGUAUUUUGCUCUCUAUAUGUUUUGGUAAUGUAGAGGUCCAAAUUUGUGUGGCUGGAUAGGCAGCCAUCAUUAUGCCAGUUACUUUAGCUACCAAUCUGAUGGAUGGUUUGCUGAUGUCAGUGAGGUUAUUAUAAGCCUCUAUUAAACCUGUAGCCUUUUCCUUAGGCAGAGUCACCGACAUGUGAACGUAGUCAAUGGUGAAAACCCCAGGUAGUCCACAGUAGUGGAAGACGUUAGUUUAGAUUUAACUGGAUGAAAUGAAUCCCAGUUCCCCAAAUAACUUUUUUUUUGUGGCUGUUACAGUUUGUUUGGCCAAAUCCAAAGUUUUUGCCCAUAAUGUCAUCUAAAUAUGCCAUAACCAUGUGUAUACGUUUCCGUAGAAACGCUUGGGCUGGUUUCAAAUUUUUUGUGAACAGCCUGGGCUGAUGAUAACCCAUUUGGCAGUGCUUUGUACUGCUAGUUGUCCCAUCCAGUUGAAAUUAAGUAACAUCUGUGGUCACCUCGUAUAGGCACUGAAUAGUAAGCAUCCUUUAAAAUUGAUGCUGACCAUUGAAGUGACCUUUGGGAAUUAAUAGUUAAGCAGUAACAAGGGUAUCUAUUUUGUCAGAUCUAUGAUGAUGCGAUGACCAUCAUCUUUUGUUUUGAUAGAUAUAUUGGACACAAAUUUUAAUGGUUCGUGUUGAGUUUUCUCAAUUACACCUUUUAUGUAAAGCCGUUUCAGUUCAGCUUGCGCUUUUGAUUUCCUUUAUCAGAAAGCACGAACAUUUGGUUCAGUAUAUGCUGAACUGGAGGGCUGUACUUGUGUAUAAAGUUUGUUGUAUAUCCCUGGAUACUGCUUAAGAUGUAGGUAUUUAACAUGCUCCAUGCAUUCAGAAGAGAGUGUAUCUCCACCCAAAUCUCCGUGCCCACUGUUUGUAGGGAACCAGACCCACCUACCUCCAUGUUACUAGUGGCAGGUUUACCUUUUUGUAGGUUCUUCGCUGUUGUUGUAGCGCUGGGUCUGGAUUUACGGUUUGGUUGGCGUUGGAGGUCCCGCAUCUUCUAGGAAGGCCGGCCUGGGCCAUGGCCUUAAAAAGACUCAUGUUUUGAGUACUGGUCCUUCGAGCUUUCACCAGUUCUCUGGUGGGUGCUUGGGGGUGCCAGUAGGUUCUCUUGUUCCUGCACCCCCUGCACUCUUUUUUCCGCGGACCCCUCUUCCAGGUCAGCCCAGAACUGACCCGCAGUGCUCCCCUCUGAUGGUGUAGAAGCACUGUGCAGCCCUGAAAGAGGUAUUGCUGUGGGUUUAUCAUAGGGCCCACAGUGACCCGACUCCAUCUCCCGGAGUCUGUCACGUUGGAGCAAAGCUCCAUAUACCGCUUCUUCCAGCUCCAGCGCUCUCGGGCGCUGGCCACCGGCGGUUAUGCAAAGUCGGACUCCUCCGAGUCCACGACCUUGUUUGUUUUGUGUCUAGCCUUACCGCUCGGCCGCAUGGAUCUGGCCGGUGCGGAGGCGACAUCGGGCACAGCUGAUCCCACUACGGGUGAUCCAAGUGCCGCUGGCUGCUGCUGGCUGCCCGCUGCUCCACGGUCCUCCUUCUCCAGCUUUGUCCUUCCUUCCGUGGAGUGGAUAUGGCCGGUGUGGAGGACAUCUGGCACAGCUGAUUCCAUCUAGCCCACCAGCUUUGUCGCAGCCCGUUGUUUCUGCACCUGCAAUCAGCAUAGAAAUGCAAAAAAGACCGCAGCUCUUACCUGCAGGUCCAAGUUGUUGCUACGAGUGAGCGUCAUUCCACCCGUCUGCUGCCGUUAUUGACUGGUCAAAUCAACGGCCCUAUUUGAAUGGUCUCCCGCCUGGCCGUGGUGUUCUGGCCGGUGCGGGACCAGGUCAGCACUGCUCUCCUUAUAACGGGAGUUAAACGUGCCUAUGGCGGCUGCUGCUGCCGGCUGCCUCUGUCUUCCCCAGCCAGCUUUACUAGCAGCACUAUGGACAGUCCUUUGUCCAGCUUCCCCUCCUGUACAUACCCAGUGUGGGGAAACAUUAGUUUUUUGCUCCCUCUCCCGCCCGUUGCGGGAGCGAGUCGGGAGCGAAAGUUGGGCACAGCUAUUCCUAUUACAGGAGCCGACUCCGGUCGCAGCUGUUGUCCCCUGUUGCGCUUACUCCACCUGGCUUAGCCACGGCAGGAGCGCAAUCUCAUAUUGUCCCCUAAUUUUUAAAAAGGGGGCAGAGCACUAAUACAACCUACUGUUGUGUAGGUUGUUGGCUCCGUUUUUCUCUACCCGUAUGGGGUGAAGUUGGCACUCGCUCCCGUUUAUGGGAGAUAGUGGUGCCGACGUCCGUUGCUGGCUGCCUGCUGCUGUUCAGCGGCAGCUCGGCAGUCUUCCUGGAAACAAGAAGAAAAGGUAAGGAAAUUUCUUACCUGUUCCGUAGCCCCAGACCCAUGUAGUUAUUGGGUUGUAGGUUCUGUUUUUCCUCCACCCGUUUUGGUGUGAUUUGCACUCGCUCCCUUAUGGGAGAUUGUGGUGCUGAUUUUUCCUCCACCCGUUUUGGUGUGAUUUGCACUCGUUCCCUUAUGGGAGAUGCUGGCGCUGACGUCCGUUUGCUGGCUGCCUGCUGCUGUUCAGCUGCAGUUUUGCAGCUUAUCUGUAAUUAAGAACACUAAUACAUCCCACUGUUUUUGUGGGUUGUUGGUUCCUUUUACUCUACACCCGUUUGGGGUGAAGUUUACAGUCGCUCCCUCAUGGGAGAUGCUGAGAAAAAAGGUCUCUCUAACGACUUGGAAUAUGCAUUCUGAAAAACUAAUUCAUUCAGUUCUGCUGAGCUUCCUCCCUUGAACCCAAGAUCCGUUUCUGAAAUAAAAACGGAAAAUAUUGGCAACACUCAGCAUGUCAGGAAACAUCAGGGGACCACUAAACUGGACGAUACAGAUGAAGCCCUGGAAGAACAUGGUGUAACCAGUUGUGUCGAAGACGACAAAAAAGUAAAGAUGAAAAAGGAAAAUGUACCACAGUUACAGUCCCAGAGGAUCUCACAUGACUUCACUGUAGUGCUGGGUGUGAGUUUCAAAUGGACAGAUUUAGAUAUUUAGCCGUGAGCACUGAUUUUUUUGAGAGGUGACAACAAAUUUGAGGUCACACCUCAUUUUCCCUUUUAAAAAUAGAACACCCAUAAGGUUGUGUUCAGUAUUCCAAAUGAGAAUCCACCAAAAAUCCAUGUUAAAAUUAGAUGUUAAACAACUUGUUUUGACAUAUUGUAAAAUGCUCUUGAAAUAAAUCCCAGUGCAUGAUUAGUUUCAUUCAGAACCGCUUCACAUUGAAUGAUUUCAGUGAAUGAUCAGCAAAACACUUACAUUUGGACCUCGCUGGGGACCCAGUCCCUUGCUUCAUUAUACAUGCAUUUAAUGCUCCAUCAAAUGCAACCAUGCACCUGUA